UAGAACAAAUGAGCUUUAUUGGGAUCGUCGAUCAAGAAAUUUGUGCUCUUCUCCAUUUGAUCCAUAAACCAACCUUCUGAAGCAUAUAAACCCCUCAAGGUAGGUCUAUGGAACACAGGUUUGUCUCCCUCUUCGUAAACAUAAACCUUCAAUAUCUCCUCCAUCAGUUGGUAGCUCCUGCAUAUAUACUUAAUAUCUAUAAACUCCUUAGAUUUUUCAAUGUAUAUUAAGGUACACACCUUUUGAAAGUUGAUAGAUUUCGAAAAACUGGGCUGUAGAGUUGGUCGUCGGUUGUGACAAUCGGAGCAUUCUCAACCUCUUUCUUAGCUCGUAGCAUUUGCUCAUCCACUUCCGUCGUCCACAGAGGUAUCUGGGUUUUAUGAUUUAUCAGUUUACAUACAUACAUACAUACAUUAAUUAAUUCUCAACAGGUCAAUAAUCAAUCUUACAUACCAUUGCUGAUGCACGAUUCUUCUCCAGAAGAUUAUCCAUAUCCGACAUCGUCAGUACUUGUUCCACCACUC
rnacentral:lncRNA from 1 species